GACGAGCGCUGGCGGCGUGCUUAACACAUGCAAGUCGAACGGAAAGGCCCUUCGGGGUACUCGAGUGGCGAACGGGUGAGUAACACGUGGGUGAUCUGCCCUGCACUUUGGGAUAAGCCUGGGAAACUGGGUCUAAUACCGAAUAGGACCACGCGCUUCAUGGUGUGUGGUGGAAAGCUUUUGCGGUGUGGGAUGGGCCCGCGGCCUAUCAGCUUGUUGGUGGGGUAAUGGCCUACCAAGGCGACGACGGGUAGCCGGCCUGAGAGGGUGACCGGCCACACUGGGACUGAGAUACGGCCCAGACUCCUACGGGAGGCAGCAGUGGGGAAUAUUGCACAAUGGGCGCAAGCCUGAUGCAGCGACGCCGCGUGAGGGAUGACGGCCUUCGGGUUGUAAACCUCUUUCAAUAGGGACGAAGCGCAAGUGACGGUACCUAUAGAAGAAGCACCGGCCAACUACGUG
rnacentral:rRNA from 1 species